rnacentral:lncRNA from 1 species
GCUAAGCAACUAGAAACUAUUCUUAUAAAUAAGAUUGUCAUAAUUUUUGCUUUAUUGUCACAAGUACUGGCCUAAACAAUUAUAAAAAUCAGGCUUCUAUAUUGUCUUGAACAUUAGCGGCUAUCAAGCCAUUUUUAAGUCCGAAAUCAUAUAGAAAAUCAGGCAUGAAGUAGGCUUUAGGUAUACAUUGCUACCUGUCUAGUAAGGGUCAUCUCUUUGUCUUUACCUGUCUAGUGUCAUAUCUUGCUCACUUUUGAUUUACACUUCAUGAGGACAAGUUAGUAUUGUCCUAUGAAACUCCUUGAGGAUAUUUAAUCAGAAGUAAUCCAGAUAACUAAUUAAGAAAUAUUCAAUUUGAUGAAGUUGACGAUUGUCUUGCUCAGCAAGGAUUUAAAAUAUCUGGAUAUUUAGGUCCCCAAGACCUUUCUUUUUGGCCAUACGCUAUCUUUAAGGCCAACAAUUUUUCUUUCUCUCCAAUUCAUUUUGAUGUUGUGAGUUUUUUUGAAACACCCUUGUCCAGGGUCGAUAUUUAUAUAACCUGUAUAUCUGUGAAGUAUCCAAGUAUAUAAAUGCAGUACGACAUCAUCCACGUGUAUAACAUCGACGAAAA